rnacentral:tRNA from 2 species
GCCCGAGUGGCGGAACAGGCAGACGCAACGGACUUAAAAUCCGUUGUCCCUUGUGGACGUGUCGGUUCGACUCCGACCUCGGGCACCA